ACUUGGAGGAAUGAAAAUGAAAAAGUUAUAAAAAAAUAACAUUGUGUAUAAUGUUUAUCAUUAUAUAUAAUGUGAAAUAAUUGAUUAAUUUAAAUAUAAUUCUAGAUAAAAUAUUGAUAAUGACAGCUUUUAUCUAAAAGUCUUGACCAAAUCUUGUGCCAGCAGUCGCGGCAACACAAGGAAGACAAGUGUUAUUCAUCUUAAAUCGGUUUAAAGGGUACCUAGACGGUAAAUUAGGCCUAAAAGGCACGUUUUUACUAGAGUUAUACAUGCAGGAGGAAAAUGUCAGUAUUACCAGAGUAGAGAUAAAAUUUUUUGAUACUGUUAAGACUGGUAAAGGCAAAAGCAAACCUCU
rnacentral:rRNA from 1 species